rnacentral:misc_RNA from 1 species
AAGGUGGGGCUGAUGACUGGGGUGAAGUCGUAACAAGGUAGCCGUACCGGAAGGUGCGGCUGGAUCACCUCCUAACAGGGAGACAAUAAAUUGAUUGUGAUGUCUAAGUUAUUUAUUCUUAGGCCGCAAUCCUGUCACCUCAAGGUCGAUCGGUACCUCAGAUUUUUGUAUUAGUUUCGUAAUUAAUCCUUUAAUUUCAGUUCCUAAACUUGUCUAGGUCACACCCAACAAGGGUUUCUCCUGGACCCUUAGCUCCGGUGAUUAGAGCACACCCCUGAUAAGGGUGGGGUCCCUGGUUCAAGUCCAGGAUGGCCCAUUCGUUGUUGGGGGUAUAGCUCAGUUGGUAGAGCGCCUGCUUUGCAAGCAGGAUGUCAGCGGUUCGAGUCCGCUUACCUCCACUGAAACCUACCCUGGUAACUAAAUUC